CCCUUAGAUGUUCUGGGCCGCACGCGUGCUACACUGAUGCAUUCAACGAGUCUAAAACCUGCUCUGAUAGGGGUGGGUAAUCUUUUGAAUGUGCAUCGUGAUUGGGAUAGAUGAUUGAAAUUUUUCAUCUUCAACGAGGAAUGCCUAGUAAACGCAAGUCAUCAGCUUGCAUUGAUUACGUCCCUGCCCUUUGUACACACCGCCCGUCGCUCCUACCGAUUGAAUGAUCCGAUGAAUAUCAUGGAUUGAGGAUGCAAGUAGGUUCACCUAUCUUCAUCUUCGAGAAGUGAAGUAAAUCUUAUCAUUUAGAGGAAGGAGAAGUCGUAACA
rnacentral:rRNA from 1 species